GAUUAAGCCAUGCAAGUCUAAGUACACACGGCCGGUACAGUGAAACUGCGAAUGGCUCAUUAAAUCAGUUAUGGUUCGAUUCCGGAGAGGGAUCCUGAGAAAUGGCUACCACAUCCAAGGAAGGCAGCAGGGGUGCAAAUUACCCACUCCCGACACAAACCAAACUCUGCUGUGGGUCGGGUAGGGUAG
rnacentral:ncRNA from 1 species